AAAAAUUCAAUCAGUAAGGAAAAGAAAAAGAAAGGAAAGAGGAGAAAGUUGAAAGGGCGAGGGUUUAACAUCUCCGUGCGAUCUGCCCUCGUCUCCUUCAUAAUUUGUUUGUCUGCCCUACCCUUCUCUUCUCUGUUCUCUCUUCCCUUCCUUCCCCUCCUCUGUCUCUGCUAUUGGCCCGUUUCGAUUAUUCCCAUCUUCCCGGCCAUCGGCCACCGGACAAUUUCUCAUCCACCCACCGCUUGUUCUCCCUCAGGAAGAACAGAAACGCCCACGAGUCAAGAAAAGCUCUUUUAAGUCAUUUGCUCUCUUCGUGGCUCAAUCAUCUCCAUUACCGUAAUCACCAUCCCCUUCUUUACUCGUUCUGGCAAGAAACUGCCCUGCCCAUUUAGGUAUUAGGGCUGCCUGACCCUUUUCCGCUUUUGUCCCGUCGCCCUUUUUUCUUCUCAAUCUUCUUGUUACUCCUCAUCGUCCUCGUUAGCCGCGACUACGGAUCAAUCAAGGCUGGCGGAUUCAGCCUCCGGCUGAUGGCGGAUCCGCCUGGUUUCCGCCCGGACUCCGCUUUCGCGUCCACCAGAGGAAGAAUAAGCAUUCGGAACAGAAGGGAGUGGCGCCUGCUUUCCGAAGGGAGAGGUAGAGGAGGAAGGCGACAAGUGGAAGAACAGGUAUUUGGAUCGUGGCUUGAGAAGGAACUAUGCUGAGCGUGCUGCGUCUGCACCUUCCGUCCGACAUCCCCAUCGUUGGGUGCGAGCUCACCCCUUACGUCCUCUUGCGGCGCCCAGAUAACUCGGUCACUAACGAUGAUGUCUCCGAAUCCAAUCCCCUUGAUGGGUGCUUCGUCAGAUAUAAGUGGUAUCGUAUACAUAGUGAUAAAAGAGUUGCUAUGUGUAGCGUACAUCCUUCUGAACAAGCCACUUUGCAAUGCAUAGGAUGUGUGAAGGCAAAAAUACCAGUUGCAAGAAGUUAUCAUUGCACUGCAAAAUGCUUUUCAGAUGCAUGGCAGCACCAUCGUGCAUUACACGAGCGUGCUGCAAGUGCUGUAAAUGAAAAUGGAGCUGAAGAGGAUGAUAUGUUUGGGAGAAUGGGUGGCAGUGGAUCAGGAGUUGUUAAUGCAGCUGGAGGAUUGAAUAGUUCAGGAUCAAUUACCAGCCAAAGCCCAAACCUGAAUAAUGGUUCUGCUCCUUCUUAUCCUAACCCUGUUUCAGAAAGGAGUGGAGGUGAAACAUGGUUUGAAGUUGGGCGAUCUAGAACAUACACACCAACUGCUGAUGAUAUUGGCCAUGUAUUGAAGUUUGAGUGUGUGGUAGUUGAUUUAGAUACCAGAAUACCUGUGGGGCCAGUCAGUACCCUUCUAACCUCACGUGUUAUUCCAGCACCAUGCCCUACUCCUCGCCGUUUGAUUCCGGUAAAUGGAGUUGAUAUUGUAGGGAACUUGGAUGCUGAUGGCCGAAGUGGAUCUGCAGGUGCUUUCACUGUUCUGUCGUACAAUAUUCUAUCAGAUGCAUAUGCCACAAGUGAAACAUACAGCUAUUGUCCAUCUUGGGCUCUUUCAUGGCCAUACAGGAAGCAGAAUUUGCUACGGGAAAUAAUUGGGUAUCAUGCAGAUAUUCUUUGUCUUCAAGAGGUUCAGAGUGAUCACUUUGAGGAUUUUUUCGCACCUGAACUUGAAAAACAUGGCUAUAUAGCUGUCUAUAAGAGAAAGACAUCCGAGGUUUUCAAUGGUAAUGGUCGAGUGAUUGAUGGUUGUGCAACCUUUUUUCGGAGGGAUCGGUUUUCACUAGUCAAAAAAUAUGAGGUUGAGUUCAACAAGGCUGCACAGUCUCUAACAGAUGCUUUAGUUCCAAAUGCCCAAAAGAAAACUGCUCUCAAUCGGUUGCUUAAGGACAAUGUUGCUUUAAUUGUAGUUUUGGAGGCCAAGUUUAGUAGCCAUGUAGUGGAUACACCUGGAAAACGACAACUUCUGUGUGUGGCAAACACACAUGUCAAUGUCCAUCAAGAUUUGAAGGAUGUAAAGCUAUGGCAGGUGCACACACUUCUAAAGGGACUGGAAAAAAUUGCAGUUAGUGCAGAUAUUCCAAUGCUAGUUUGUGGGGAUUUCAAUUCAACCCCUGGAAGUGCUCCACAUGCACUUUUGGCGAUGGGGAAGGUUGAUCCCCUCCAUCCAGAUUUAGCUGUUGAUCCUUUAGGAAUCUUGCGCCCUCCCAGCAAGCUUACUCAUCAGCUUCCGCUGGUAAGUGCAUACUCAUCAUUUGCAAGAAUGAUGGGUGUUGGUGGAAACUUGGAGAGCCAGAGAAGAAAAAUGGACUCAGCAACAAAUGAACCAUUGUUCACAAAUUGCACAAGAGAUUUCCUUGGCACCCUUGACUAUAUUUUCUACACAGCGGACUCAUUGACAGUGGAGUCAUUAUUGGAACUACUUGAUGAGGAAAGCUUACGAAAAGACACUGCUUUGCCAUCUCCAGAGUGGUCAUCUGAUCACAUAGCCUUGCUGGCUGGUUUCCGCUGCAUGCCUAGAAUACGACGGUAGAGUAUGGUAUAUGUUUCUAGGUCUUUAUGGAGCAACCAGCAAACGUGUGAAGUACUUGCUUAAAAGAGAGGUACCUGAUGAAGAGAACGUCCUGGGGAUUGUACUGGGGGAAGUUUUUUGUACAAGGCGCAACACAUAUGAUGAGCUUAAUUUGAAUAAUUCUCAUGGUUCAAAUAGGCUUUUAAAAACAUUUUGACUCGAAUUUCCCCUAUUUGCAAUUUCCCUGGUGAGGAAGUCUGGAUUUUGGGUUGGUAUAUGCAUCGGGCCUCCUGGUUAUAUUCCAAUGUGCCUGAUUGCUUCACUUAUACUUGUAUAGCCAACUUUCUGAAUUGAAAAUAAAAAACUUGACACGUUCACGUGCCCCUCCUAUCAUAGGUUCUUCGGUUGUUGUUUUGACAUUUUUCUUCCACUACUUGUAAUUAACCAUUUUCAUGAAAUUUUUUUACAGUAUAUUUA